rnacentral:rRNA from 1 species
CCACGGGAGGCAGCAGUGGGGAAUUUUGCGCAAUGGGGGAAACCCUGACGCAGCAACGCCGCGUGGAGGAUGAAGUCCCUUGGGACGUAAACUCCUUUCGACCGGGACGAUAAUGACGGUACCGGUGGAAGAAGCCCCGGCUAACUACGUGCCAGCAGCCGCGGUAAUACGUAGGCAGCAAGCGUUGUUCGGAGUUACUGGGCGUAAAGAGUGCGUAGGCGGUUUCGCAAGUUUGGUGUGAAAUCUCCCGGCUUAACUGGGAGGGUGCGCGGAAAACUGGCGGGCUAGAGUGCGGGAUGGGAGAGUGGAAUUCCUGGUGUAGCGGUGAAAUGCGUAGAUAUCAGGAGGAACACCGGUGGUGUAGACGGCUCUCUGGACCGUAACUGACGCUGAAACACGAAAGCGUGGGUAGCAAACAGGAUUAGAUACCCUGGUAGUCCACGCCCUAAACGAUGCAUAUUUGGUGUAGGUCAUUCAGUUGAUCUGUGCCGGAGCUAACGCGUUAAAUAUGCCGCCUGGGGAGUACAGUCGCAAGGCUGAAACUCAAAGGAAUUGACGG